rnacentral:rRNA from 1 species
GAUACUGUUAGGCUAGAGUAGGUGAGAGGAAGGUAGAAUUNCAGGUGUAGCGGUGAANUGCGUAGAGAUCUGGAGGAAUACCGAUGGCGAAGGCAGCCUUCUGGCAUCAUACUGACACUGAGGUUCGAAAGCGUGGGUAGCAAACAGGAUUAGAUACCCUGGUAGUCCACGCCGUAAACGAUGUCUACUAGUCGUUGGGUCCCUUGAGGACUUAGUGACGCAGCUAACGCAAUAAGUAGACCGCCUGGGGAGUACGGCCGCAAGGUUAAAACUCAAAUGAAUUGACGGGGGCCCGCACNAGCGGUGGAGCAUGUGGUUUAAUUCGAUGCAACGCGAAGAACCUUACCUGGUCUUGACAUAUCUAGAAUCCUGCAGAGAUGCGGGAGUGCCUUCGGGAAUUAGAAUACAGGUGCUGCAUGGCNGUCGUCAGCUCGUGUCGUGAGAUGUUGGGUUAAGUCCCGCAACGAGCGCAACCCUUGUCCUUAGUUACCAGCGGUUUGGCCGGGAACUCUAAGGAUACUNCCAGUGACAAACUGGAGGAAGGCGGGGACGACGUCAAGUCAUCAUGGCCCUUACGACCAGGGCUACACACGUGCUACAAUGGUAGGUACAGAGGGCAGNUACACAGCGAUGUGAUGCGAAUCUCAAAAAGCCUAUCGUAGUCCAGAUUGGAGUCUGCAACUCGACUCCAUGAAGUAGGAAUCGCUNGUAAUCGCGGAUCAGAAUGCCGCGGUGAAUACGUUCCCGGGCCUUGUACACACCGCCCGUCACACCAUGGGAGUUGAUUGCACCAGAAGUGGGUAGCCUA